GGAGCACUAAAUAUAGUAUAACUUAAUCAGAUUAUUUAUUUGGAAAAGAACCAAAUGCUUUAUAAUAUUAUAAAUAAACAGUCAGUAUUCUCCGAAACAAAUUAAUACUAUCUGACAGAAAUUAAUCAGUAUUCUCCAAAACAAAUUAGUAAUAUCCGAUAAAAAUUAAUCAGUACAGUCCGAUGUACCAAAUGAUCCUAUAAUAUUAGGAUCACUU
rnacentral:lncRNA from 1 species